UACGUAGGGUGCGAGCGUUAAUCGGAAUUACUGGGCGUAAAGCGUGCGCAGGCGGUUUUGUAAGCCAGAUGUGAAAGCCCCCGGGCUCAACCUGGGAAUGGGCAUUUGGGACUGCAAGGCUGGAGUUUGGCAGAGGAGACUGGAAUUCCUGGUGUAGCAGUGAAAUGCGUAGAUAUCAGGAGGAAUACCGAUGGCGAAGGCAGGUCUCUGGGCUGAUAACUGGACGCUCAUGACACGAAAGCGUGGGGCAAACAAGGAUUACGAA
rnacentral:rRNA from 1 species